ACCCUCUGAGGGUCGCACCUGGAGAGUUUCUAGUACUCUACCAGUCGAUUAUGGGAGGGAGAGUCAAGCAGAGGCACACCCAUUCAAUUCCUAGCUUGGCCAGAGGCUAGCAAAUGGAAGGGAAUCUGCUACAAGU